GAUCAAUGAAAAUGUUUUUAUCUCUCAGUGAAUGAACAACAAGGAAGAGUGUGAGUUACAAUUACAAAUGCAGCUUAUGAUUCUUUAUUUGGUGAUUGGAUUUUACAGGGGAGCAGGAUAAAGUCCAGAGUCUGUCUGGGUUUGCUAUUAAGCGUGUGUGUAUUUUAGACUAUCUUGUCAUUUUGAUAAAUUGAACUUUUCUUAUUACUCUUAUGAGAUGGCUUUUGGUCUCUGGUAAUACUGUUUGUGUUGAAGUUUACUGUGUCAGAUGUUAAUAGACUCACACCAAGUUUCUUAUGUUUAGUCUCUGAACUUUGUUUUUUCCAUUCUUCCUCUUUCCUUUUGUUUGAGUCAUUAUAUGUAAAGUGUAUUUUUCUAAGUGACAGAUAGUUAGGUCUUGCCUCAUUAUCCAGUCAGACAAUCCUUACUUUUUAUGUGAUGCUUAGUCUGAUUGUAUUCCACGUAAUUAAGGUAGAGCUGGAUUAAAAUCUAUCAGGUUAGUGUUUGUUUUUUAUUGUUUUAUCUAUUCUUUGUUCCUCUAUUUCUCCUAGACUGACUUCCUUUUGGUUAACUAAGUAUUCUUUUAAUAUUUCAUUUUCUCUCUUCUGUUCUCCUUAUCUAUACAUUUUUGUGUUAAUUUUUGGAGCUUGCUGAAAAAAUUGCCUAUGUACCUUGAUUAAUCACUACUACUUUCAAAUAUUAUUAUAGUAGUUAGAUGAUACUAUUUUGUCAAUAAUGUAAGAAUUUACAACAGAAUAAUCUAUUCACCCCCCCUUUGUCCUCAGUGCUCUUUAUUAUAUAUUUUAUUUCUACAAAUGUUAUAGAAUCUACAUAUGCUCUCAUUAUAUUCAUUUAUGAUGUCAAUAGUUCUUUAAAGAAUUAUGUAUGGUGUAUUUUUAAUGUAUUAUCUCUCUAAAGCAGUUUCUUUCAACCUGAAGAACUUCAUUUACUAUGUCUUGUAGUGUGAUUCUACUAGCUACAACUUGUCUCUGUUUAUAUUUAUCUUAAAAUGUAUUUAUUUUGAUUUGGUUUUUUUAAAAAAAUAUUUUUACUGAAUGUAGAGUUUUAGGUUGACAGUGAUUUUUGUCUUGAAGCAUUUUAAAGUAUUCCACUGCCUUCUGAUCUCUUAUGGUUCCCUUCCAAGGUCUGCUAGUAAUCUUAUUAUAUUUCCCUUAAAUAUAAUGCGGUGUUUUGCUUUUUUCCCCACCUGCUGCUUUUAAGAUUUUCUCUUUAUCUGAUUUUCAAGAAUUUAGCUAAGACAGCCUAGGUGUAAGUUUCUUUAUAUUUAUUUUACUUGGGAUUCACUGAGCUUUAUGGUCCAAUGGUUUGCCUUUUUAAAAAAUCAAAUUUAGAAAAUAUUUCAGUUAUUAAUUCUUCAUUUCCUUUCCUGUCUCAUUCUCUCCACAGAAAUUAUAAAUCAACUUUUGUGUGGGCAGGAACUUUGCUUUUCUUAUUUACCACUAUUUCUACAAUAGUAGAUGGCCAACAAAUAUUUUUUGAUCAAUCAGUCAAUCACUUGAGUUUUAGAGUUCCUGCUGAUAACUCUCAGAGUUAAGAUGCUAAAGAAAAAAAAAAAAAAAAAGAAAAAAAAAGGAGUUCCUGUCGUGGUUCAGUGGUUAAUGAACCUGAGUAACAUCCAUGAGGAUGUGGGUUUGAUCCCUGGCCUCACUCAGUGGGUUAAGGAUCUGGCAUUGCCAUUAGCUGUGGUAUAGAUCACAGAUGUGGCUCAGAUCCCAAGUUGCUGUGGCUCUGGCUUAAGCCAGCAGCUAUAGCUCGGCUUUGACCCCUAUCCUGGGAACUUCCAUAUGCUGCCUGUGCAGCCCUAAAAGACAAAAAGACAAAAAAAAGAUGCUCUGCAAGUUUUCCAGAUUCUCCUGCUACAAACUUGAUAUUUAAUUUGGUGUAAAAUUUAAAUGAAACUAAAUUUGAAGAACUAUCUAUUUUAUUGGAUGGAUUCUGAAGAGCUCAAAACCUAAUUUUCUGCUAGAAAAUCCAGCAUCUUUUAGCACAGCCCUCUCAAAUAGUCCAGACUUUGCUUCUGUGCAUUUCCAAAAUGUUACAAAAUAAGCAAAUUUCCUAGAUGGGCUUUCUGAGGUUUUUAGGUAUAAACAGUCCCUAACACGCUAGGUAAGAUCAGAGGGAUUGUUUUUUCUCUUUCUACUGUUAUUCGAAAACUUUUAAUUAGUAUAUUUCUACAUUAUGGUUGAAAGCAAUUAGCUAUAUGAAACAGCUUCCAGUGAAAUACAGUAGUCAGUUCUUUCAUCUCCCAUAUCUCCAAAUUUUACUUCAUUGCAACAGAUUUUUUUACUCUUCUGUUCUUUUUGGGUUUUUUUUUUUUUUCUGAUAUAUGUUUUCAUAUGCCCCAAUAGUAUACUUAAACUAUUAUUUUCUGGUUUGACAUUUUAAAAAUUAUCUGUUUACUUCUUGUUUUUAUGUUGAAGAUUUUGCUUUCACUCAUCACCAUUUCCACUUCCUCUCUUCUCUCCUCUCAAUAAAUGUAUUCCACAAUUUUGAGUUAUGUCAAUAGUUAUUUCCCAUUAUUGCAACUAUGUCGCAACUGUUGUUAGCCUAAGAGUCAGUUUGUGUAUUAAGAUUGUAUUUCCUGGAGUUCCUGUGGUGGCUCAGUGGUUAACAAACCUGACGUAUCCUUGGGACGCGGGUUUGAUCCCUGACCUUGCUCAGUGGAUUAAAUAUCCAGUGUUGCAGUGAGCUGUGGUGUAGGUCACAGACGCAGCUCGGAUCCCACAUUGCUGUGGCUCUGGUGUAGGCCAGUGGUUGCAGCUCCAAUUCGACCCCUAGCCUGGGAACCUCCAUGUGCUCUUCUCUAGUGAAUAUUUGUCUCUAUUUUCCAUUUACUCACCUUUCUGUGUCUCUAUUUUUUUUUUAAUGCUUCAACAGAUUUCUCAAGUACUUAAUAAUUUUUCCAAAUGAUUGAAUACAGUUCCAAACUUUCCUUCAGCUCUUUUGAUCUCCUGUUGACCUUACUCCUGCAAUUCUCCUUUCUCUUGCUCCACUAUGGACCAGUUGAUUAAUAGGUGCAUAGCUAUUGUUCUGAAUUUCCCAUUACCACUCUUCUCUGCAGAUUUUUUUGUUUCCUUGAGUCUGUAUAAUCCUGUUUCUUGGUUUACAGUUCUCAUUUUGCAGAAGCACCUACUCUUGUAUCCAUUAAAGAUUUUGUGCACAGGAGGUAAAGUUUUUGAGUUCUUGGGUGUUUGGACAUUUCUUUAUUCUACCUUUACCCUUCAUUGAUGAUUUGACUGGUGUGGACUUUGGGCUGAAAAUUAUUUCCUGUGAGUUGACUCCUAGCAUUUAGUGUUGCUUUUUUUUUAAGGCUGUUUUAUUUCUGUAUGCAUUAUGGUGAGCAAUUUUUAUCUAAUUGGUUGGUUAGUUUUUGGUUUUUUGUUGUUGUUUUUCUCUGUCAAGUUCUUAAGAUCUAUUCCUUUUUCCUGUUAUCCUGAAAUUUAGCAAUAAUAUGCUUUGUUGUAAGUCUUUUUUCCCCUCUAGACAUAGUACUGGAUAAACACUGGGUACUUUUAAUUUAGAAACUCAUGUCUUUUUGUUGUUUUGGCUGUGCCCACGGUGUAAGGAAGUUCCUGGGCCAGGGACCAAGCCCAUGCCACAACUAUAACCAGAGCCACAGCAGUCACAGUGUAAGAUACUUAACCCAUUGAGCCACAAGGGAGCCCCUAGAAACUCAUGUCUUUAAUUUUUGAAAAUUUCCUUCAUAAUUACAUGGAUCACUCUUUUCUAUGUUUUUUUUUCUCUGUUUUUCUAUCUCUUCUCAUGUCCCCACACCAAGAAGUCCUUUUGAUUAGAUUUUUUUUACCUCCUGAAUUAAUCAUCUAAUUUUUUUAAAUUAAAGUAUAGUUGAUUUACAAUGUUGUGCCAGUUUAUACUAUAGAGCAGAGGGACUCAGCCAUACAUAUAUAUUUUUUUUUAUUUUAUUUUCCAUCAUGAUCUGUCGCAGCCGAUUGGAUUUAGUUCCCUGUGCUACAGUAGGACUUCACUGCUUGUCCAUUCUAAGUGUAAUAGUUUGCAUUUACUACCCAAACUUCCAGUCCCUCCCACUCCCUCCCCUUACUCCUUGGCAACCACACAUCCGUUCUCUAUACCUGUGAGUCUAUUUCUGUUUUAUAGACAGAUUCAUUUGUGCCAUAUUUUAGAUUCCAUAUAUCAUACGGUAUUUGUCCUCUUUCUGACUUAAUUCACUAGUAUGAUAAUCUCUAGUUACAUCCAUGUCACAAAUGGCAUUAUUUCCUAUAGCCAAAUAGUAUUCCAUUGUAUAUAUGUACCACAUCUUAGUUCAUUCAUCUGUCUAUGGACAUUUAGAUUGUUUCUGUGUCUUGGCUAUUGUGAAUAGUGCUGCAUUGAACAUAGGGGUGCAUUUUAUUUUUAUAAAUUAUCAUAGUCUAAUUUUUAAUCUUCUCUCUCCAAUUGCCAUUCCUUUGCUCUUUGGUUUUUCUUUCUGUGAUAGUUCUAAACUAUACCUUUGAACUUUUUUAAUGAUAAUUUUUAAAAUUUCAGUGAUCAUACUUUUUCAUGUCAUAGAAGUCUUUCUUGUCCAAUAGUUCUGCCUUUUCUAUACACGCAAUAUCUUCUCAUUUAAACAUAUAAUAUGUUAUUUUAAAAUUAAAUUAUUUUCCUAUGCUUUCUGCAAUAUCUUUGCUUUUUUAUAAGUAUAUUUCUGUUUAUUUUGGACUGAGAAUUUCCUGUUGAAGACAUUUUUAGUGUCUGUGCUUACUGGCUAUUUGUUCAUAUAUAAUUCCUAGGCAAUAAAAGGCUGAUUGGAGGAGUUCCCACUGUGGCUCAGAGGUAACGAACCCAGCUAGUAUCCAUGAGGAUGUGGGUUCAAUCGCUGGCCUCACUCAGUGGGUUAAGGACCCAGCAUUGCCUUGAGCUGUGGUGUAGGUCACAAAUACAGCUCAGAUCCCUCAUUGCUGUGGCUGCAGUGUAGGCUGGCAACUGCAGCUCUGAUUCAACCUCUAGCCUGGAAACUUUCAUAUGCCA
rnacentral:lncRNA from 1 species